rnacentral:rRNA from 1 species
AACGAACGCUGGCGGCAGGCUUAACACAUGCAAGUCGAACGAUCCUUCGGGAUAGUGGCAGACGGGUGAGUAACGCGUGGGAACCUACCAAUAGGUACGGAACAACUCAGAGAAAUUUGGGCUAAUACCGUAUGUGAUCUUCGGAUUAAAGAUUUAUCGCCUAUUGAUGGGCCCGCGUUAGAUUAGCUAGUUGGUGAGGUAAUGGCUCACCAAGGCGACGAUCUAUAGCUGGUCUGAGAGGAUGAUCAGCCACACUGGGACUGAGACACGGCCCAGACUCCUACGGGAGGCAGCAGUGAGGAAUAUUGGACAAUGGGGGCAACCCUGAUCCAGCCAUGCCGCGUGAGUGAAGACGGCCUUAGGGUUGUAAAGCUCUUUCAGUAGUGAAGAUAAUGACGGUAACUACAGAAGAAGCCCCGGCUAACUUCG